rnacentral:rRNA from 1 species
GUGCCAGCAGCCGCGGUAAUACGUAGGGGGCAAGCGUUGUCCGGAUUUAUUGGGCGUAAAGAGCGUGUAGGCGGCCAGAUAGGUCAGCUGUGAAAACUCGAGGCUCAACCUCGAGAUGUCGGCUGAAACCAUCUGGCUAGAGUCCGGAAGAGGAGAAUGGAAUUCCCGGUGUAGCGGUGAAAUGCGCAGAUAUCGGGAAGAACACCCGUGGCGAAGGCGGUUCUCUGGGACGGUACUGACGCUGAGACGCGAAAGCGUGGGGAGCGAACAGGAUUAGAAACCCCCGUAGUCC